rnacentral:rRNA from 1 species
ACUCCUACGGGAGGCAGCAGUGGGGAAUAUUGGACAAUGGGCGCAAGCCUGAUCCAGCCAUGCCGCGUGAGUGAUGAAGGCCUUCGGGUUGUAAAGCUCUUUCACCCACGACGAUGAUGACGGUAGUGGGAGAAGAAGCCCCGGCUAACUUCGUGCCAGCAGCCGCGGUAAUACGAAGGGGGCAAGCGUUGUUCGGAAUGACUGGGCGUAAAGGGCGCGUAGGCGGUUCGUUGCGUCAGAUGUGAAAGCCCCGGGCUCAACCUGGGAACUGCAUUUGAUACGGGCGGGCUUGAAUCCAAGAGAGGGUGGUGGAAUUCCCAGUGUAGAGGUGAAAUUCGUAGAUAUUGGGAAGAACACCAGUGGCGAAGGCGGCCACCUGGCUUGGUAUUGACGCUGAGGCGCGAAAGCGUGGGGAGCAAACAGGAUUAGAUACCCUGGUAGUCCACGCCGUAAACGAUGUGUGCUAGCCGUCGGGCAGCUUGCUGUUCGGUGGCGCAGCUAACGCGAUAAGCACACCGCCUGGGGAGUACGGUCGCAAGAUUAAAACUCAAAGGAAUUGACG